CAUAUUAUAUAAUGUACUUUGUAACCAGUUGGAAACACAUUUAACAAAUGUGGCUGGACACGCUGAAUAGUGGCACACGUUUUAUAGGGAUACCUUUAAAGACGUAAUAGAUGUUCCUUUAGAAGAGUAAUCUUCUGGGUAAGAAUGUAGACAAAGAUGCAUUCAAAACAUGGCGUGGUGCAAUAGGAUAAGUGGAAGUCAAAUGACUAUGAGAAAUCGGGAUCACAAUAGACGGUCCGUGGGACAAGAAUCCAUUAUUGCAAUGUGUGGUAGCAUUGCUUCCGAUGGAAAAACCAAUAAGAUCUUAGUUCGGUUGAUGGGAGAAAUUCCUAUAAGAGAAAGCAUAGGUACGAGUAGAGAAAACCCGACAUUAUGAAUAAUUCUAUUAUAAUGGGUAUAAAAAUUAUUAUUACUUCUGAAAGUUCUCGAAAGUUGUGGGUAAAAUCCCACUUGGGUUUAGGGAAACCGACUAAAGAAGGUCAGAACUAGCUAUUCUUUCCUCAGACUUUAGCCCCCAAUGCAUGAAUGACAGCUUAUUCUACUUGUAAGGUGAAGACCUACAUUUUUAAGACACCCAAA
rnacentral:sRNA from 12 species